rnacentral:rRNA from 1 species
UACGUAGGGUGCAAGCGUUAAUCGGAAUUACUGGGCGUAAAGCGCACGCAGGCGGUUCGCCAAGUUCGGAGUGACAAUCACCGGCUUAACCGGUGAACGACUUCGAAAACUGGUGGACUUGAGAGCGAGAGAGGGACGUGGAACUCCGGGAGUAGCGGUGAAAUGCGUAGAGACCCGGAGGAACACCAGUGGCGAAGGCGGCGUCCUGGCCUGCGACUGACGCUGUGGCGCGAAAGCUAGGGGAGCGAACGGG